rnacentral:rRNA from 1 species
GACGAACCGUGCGAACGUUGUUCGGAAUCACUGGGCUUAAAGGGCGCGUAGGCGGGCGGGCAAGUCGAAGGUGAAAUCCCACAGCUCAACUGUGGAAGCGCCCCCGAUACUGCUCGUCUGGAGGGAGAUAGGGGCGUGCGGAACUUCCGGUGGAGCGGUGAAAUGCGUAGAUAUCGGGAAGAACACCUAUGGCGAAGGCAGCUCUCUGGGACGGUACUGACGCUGAGAGACGAAAGCUAGGGGAGCAAAUGGG